rnacentral:rRNA from 1 species
GGGUAUAGAUCCCCUCCGUGCCGAAGCUGACGCGUUAAGCAUCCCGCCUGGGGAUUACGGCCGCAAGGCUUAAACUCAAACGAAUUGACGGGGGCCCGCACAAGCAGCGGAGCGUGUGGUUUAAUUCGAUGAUACACGAAGAACCUUACCUGGGCUUGACAUGUAGGUAGUAGUGAAGCGAAAGCGGAACGACCCUUCGGGGAGCUUACACAGGUGCUGCAUGGCUGUCAGUCAGUUCGUGCCAGUGAGUUGUCGGGUUAAGUCCCGUAACGAACGCAACCCUUGCCACUUAGUUACAUGUGUCUAAGGGGACUGCCCGGGACAAACUGGGAGGAAGGUGGGGAUGACGUCAAGUCAGCAUGGCCAUUAUGUCCAGGGCUACACACACGCUACAAUGGCCGGUACAAUGGGUCGCCAAGCCGUGAGCCAGGAGCCAAUCCCCCAAAGCCGGUCUAAGUUCGGAUUGUGGGCGGCAACUCGCCCAUAUGAAGCUGGAGUUGCUAGUAACCGCGCGUCAGCAAUAGUGCGGUGAAUACGUUGCCCGGGCACUUGUACACACCGCCCGUCACGUCAUGGAAGCUGCUACACCUGAAGCCAGUGA